GUGCUCGCUUCGGCAGCACGUGUGCUAGGCUGGGAACGAUACAGAGAAAGCCAGCACAGCCCCUGCUCAAGGAGGACAUGCAGAUCUGGGAAACACUCCAUAUUGUU